rnacentral:rRNA from 1 species
CGAUGGCGACCGGCGCACGGGUGAGUAACGCGUAUGCAACCUGCCCGAUACCGGGGUAUAGCCCAUGGAAACGUGGAUUAACACCCCAUAGUACUUUUAUCCUGCCUGGGAUGGGAGUUAAAUGUUCAAGGUAUCGGAUGGGCAUGCGUCCUAUUAGUUAGUUGGCGGGGUAACAGCCCACCAAGACGAUGAUAGGUAGGGGUUCUGAGAGGAAGGUCCCCCACAUUGGAACUGAGACACGGUCCAA